rnacentral:ncRNA from 1 species
ACAAAUGCUGUGAUGAGGAGGAGUAUGCCUAUCUCCCGCAUUCAGAGAAAAGACGGUCGGUGCAAGUCUUUAUGCGGUGUAUGCAGAAGUAGCCUCGGAGCUUCGCAGGUGAACUUUUAAAGUAGUCUGCGGCGGAUAUUCCCCGUUACGGAAUAAUGAGUGCGCUGUGACCCAGCGAAUUCAGGUGGUACCACGGAUAUCUCCGUCCUGAAG